rnacentral:rRNA from 1 species
ACAUAUAGUGAAAAGCGGCAGAGAUGUCGUGUCCGCAAGGGCGCUAUACAGGUGGUGCAUGGUUGUCGUCAGCUCGUGUCGUGAGAUGUUGGGUUAAGUCCCGCAACGAGCGCAACCCUCGUUCUGUGUUGCCAGCAUUUAGUUGGGGACUCACAGGAGACUGCCGUGGUUAACACGGAGGAAGGUGGGGAUGACGUCAAAUCAUCAUGCCCCUUAUGUCUUGGGCUGCACGCAUGCUACAAUGGCCGAUACAAAGGGCUGCAAUACCGUGAGGUGGAGCGAAUCCCAUAAAGUCGGUCUCAGUUCGGAUUGAGGUCUGCAACUCGACCUCAUGAAGUCGGAGUUGCUAGUAAUCGUAGAUCAGCAACGCUACGGUGAAUACGUUCCCGGGUCUUGUACACACCGCCCGUCACGUCACGAAAGUCGGUAACACCCAAAG